AGAUUGAACGCUGGCGGCAUGCCUAACACAUGCAAGUCGAACGGGAGUAGCAAUACUCUAGUGGCGGACGGGUGAGGAAUACGUAGGAAUUUGCCCUUAAGUGGGGGAUAACCCGGGGAAACCCGGAUUAAUACCGCAUGACCUCGAAAGAGCAAAGUGGGGGAUCGCAAGACCUCACGCUUUUGGAGAAGCCUACGUCGGAUUAGCUAGUUGGUGAGGUAAUGGCUCACCAAGGCGACGAUCCGUAACUGGUCUGAGAGGAUGAUCAGUCACACCGGAACUGAGACACGGUCCGGACUCCUACGGGAGGCAG
rnacentral:rRNA from 1 species